rnacentral:rRNA from 1 species
AUUGAACGCUGGCGGCAUGCCUUACACAUGCAAGUCGAACGGCAGCGCGGGGCAACCUGGCGGCGAGUGGCGAACGGGUGAGUAACAUAUCGGAACAUACCCUAGAGUGGGGAUAACGUAGCGAAAGUUACGCUAAUACCGCAUACGCACUAAGGUGGAAAGUGGGGGAUCUUCGGACCUCAUGCUCAUUGAGUGGCCGAUAUCUGAUUAGCUAGUUGGUGAGGUAAAGGCUCACCAAGGCGACGAUCAGUAGCUGGUUUGAGAGAACGACCAGCCACACUGGAACUGAGACACGGUCCAGACUCCUACGGGAGGCAGCAGUGGGGAAUUUUGGACAAUGGGGGCAACCCUGAUCCAGCAAUGCCGCGUGAGUGAA